rnacentral:misc_RNA from 1 species
GUAGGUGAACCUGCGGAAGGAUCAUUAUCGUGGGGCUCCGGCCCUGUCGAGAUAGAACCCUUGCCUUUUUCGAGCACCGUCCGUGUCCUCGGCAGGCUCGCCUGCCAGUGGGGACCCCCCAAAAACCAAACCAAUUCCGUAUCGUCUGAGAAACAAACCAAUAAUCAAAACUUUCAACAAUGGAUCUCUUGGCUCUG